rnacentral:lncRNA from 1 species
CCUAUCGCUAUGUUGGUCACAUUGGCCUCUGGGACUCCAGUCCCCUGGGCAAGCUAGUGAGGAGUCGUGUCAGUGCGCUCCCUGAGUGUGAGCCUGGGAAUUUGUAGGGGCGAAGACAGCUCGGUCACACAUGAGCCCUCUGGCGCAGAGGAAGCGGGUGCAAGUUGUAGUGCAAGACCCUGCAUGGGCCAAGAGUCCUGGGUCCUUCACCCCAGCGGUGGCUGUGGGUGACCUCGAAGGGUUGUGUCACGAGCAAACAAGAGAAGGUACAUGAAGAAGCUGCGUCCAUGCAAGGGUGAGCAGGGGCUCUCCUUAGCUAAAUCCCAUAUUUCAUCUAUGUGUCUCUCUGGGAAAGACCCUUCCUCUGGUCUGCACCUAACAAACUCCUACUCAUCCUUCAAAGCCUAAUGCCUGGAUCACCUCCUCGUAUGCCUGAUAGUUUAGGUAAGCAAUAAUCCAAUAACUCAUGUAUAAUAUGAUAGUAUGGAAUAGGUAUUUAUAGGCUCUAUGGGAGUUUUUGAAAUUUUUUGUUAUUUAAUAUUUAAGUUUAUGAAAAGGAAUGUGAGAAAUUACUAUAACUUAACUUUCCUCUAAUUUUUUUUUUUUUUUUUUUUUUUUUGGUGCCAGGGAUCGAACUCGGGUUCUUGUGCUUGUGCAGCAGGCGGCGAAACCACUGAGCUAAAUCCUCAGCCCCACCUC